GAGUUUGAUCCUGGCUCAAACGAACGCUGGCAGCGUGGAUUAGGCAUGCAAGUCGAACGAGACGCUUUUAUAUCAAUCCUUCGGGAGAGACUUAGAAGUUGAGAGUGGCGGAAGGGUGAGUAGCGCGUGGGCAAUCUACCCUGGAGUUGGGGAUAACGUUUGGAAACGAACGCUAAUACCGAAUAUGGUUCCUGGUCGCAUGACUGGGAUACUAAAGGUGGGGAUUCUUCGGAACCUGCCGCUCUUGGAGGAGCCCGCGUAUGAUUAGCUUGUUGGUGGGGUAACGGCUCACCAAGGCUUCGAUCAUUAGCUGGUCUGAGAGGAUGAUCAGCCACACUGGGACUGAGACACUGCCCAGACUCCUACGGGAGGCUGCAGUCGAGAAUCAUUCGCAAUGCGCGAAAGCGUGACGAUGCGACGCUGCGUGGAGGAUGACGGCCUUAGGGUUGUAAACUCCUGUCAUGAGGGAAAAGUUGUC
rnacentral:rRNA from 1 species